rnacentral:rRNA from 1 species
UACGGGGGGGGCAAGCGUUGUUCGGAAUUACUGGGCGUAAAGGGCUCGUAGGUGGCCAACUAAGUCAGACGUGAAAUCCCUCGGCUUAACCGGGGAACUGCGUCUGAUACUGGAUGGCUUGAGUGUGGGAGAGGGAUGCGGAAUUCCAGGUGUAGCGGUGAAAUGCGUAGAUAUCUGGAGGAACACCGGUGGCGAAGGCGGCAUCCUGGACCGAGAUUGACGCUGAUGCGCGAAAGCCAGGGGAGCAAACGGG